UUACCUUCGGGUAAUGAGGAUGGCGGACGGGUGAGUAACGCGUAAGGAACUUGCCUCUUGGACUGGGACAACUGUUGGAAACGACAGCUAAUACCGGAUAUUAUGAGAUUCUCGCAUGAGAAACUUAUGAAAGCUAUAUGCGCCAAGAGAGAGCCUUGCGUUCCAUUAGCUAGUUGGUGGGGUAACGGCCCACCAAGGCGACGAUGGAUAGCCGGCCUGAGAGGGUGAACGGCCACAAGGGGACUGAGACACGGCCCUUACUCCUACGGGAGGCAGCAGUGGGGAAUAUUGGACAAUGGGCCACAAGCCUGAUCCAGCAAUUCUGUGUGCACGAUGAAGGUCUUCGGAUUGUAAAGUGCUUUCAGUUGGGAAGAAGAAAGUGACGGUACCAACAGAAGAAGCGACGGCUAAAUACGUGCCAGCAGCCGCGGUAAUACGUAUGUCGCAAGCGUUAUCCGGAUUUAUUGGGCGUAAAGCGCGUCUAGGCGGAAAAAUAAGUCUGAUGUUAAAAUGCGGGGCUCAACUCCGUAUUGCGUUGGAAACUGUUUUUCUAGAGUACUGGAGAGGUGGGCGGAACUACAAGUGUAGAGGUGAAAUUCGUAGAUAUUUGUAGGAAUGCCGAUGGAGAAGUCAGCUCACUGGACAGAUACUGACGCUGAAGCGCGAAAGCGUGGGGAGCAAA
rnacentral:rRNA from 1 species